rnacentral:piRNA from 1 species
UGAAAGUAACUCCACUAUCUCAGUGCCUCCU